rnacentral:rRNA from 1 species
GAUGAACGCUGGCGGCGUGCCUAAUACAUGCAAGUCGAGCGAACGGACGAGAAGCUUGCUUUUCUGAUGUUAGCGGCGGACGGGUGAGUAACACGUGGAUAACCUACCUAUAAGACUGGGAUAACUUCGGGAAACCGGAGCUAAUACCGGAUAAUAUUUUGAACCGCAUGGUUCAAAAGUGAAAGACGGUCUUGCUGUCACUUAUAGAUGGAUCCGCGCUGCAUUAGCUAGUUGGUAAGGUAACGGCUUACCAAGGCAACGAUGCAUAGCCGACCUGAGAGGGUGAUCGGCCACACUGGAACUGAGACACGGUCCAGACUCCUACGGGAGGCAGCAGUAGGGAAUCUUCCGCAAUGGGCGAAAGCCUGACGGAGCAACGCCGCGUGAGUGAUGAAGGUCUUCGGAUCGUAAAACUCUGUUAUUAGGGAAGAACAUAUGUGUAAGUAACUGUGCACAUCUUGACGGUACCUAAUCAGAAAGCCACGGCUAACUACGUGCCAGCAGCCGCGGUAAUACGUAGGUGGCAAGCGUUAUCCGGAAUUAUUGGGCGUAAAGCGCGCGUAGGCGGUUUUUUAAGUCUGAUGUGAAAGCCCACGGCUCAACCGUGGAGGGUCAUUGGAAACUGGAAAACUUGAGUGCAGAAGAGGAAAGUGGAAUUCCAUGUGUAGCGGUGAAAUGCGCAGAGAUGUGGAGGAACACCAGUGGCGAAGGCGACUUUCUGGUCUGUAACUGACGCUGAUGUGCGAAAGCGUGGGGAUCAAACAGGAUUAGAUACCCUGGUAGUCCACGCCGUAAACGAUGAGUGCUAAGUGUUAGGGGGUUUCCGCCCCUCAGUGCUGCAGCUAACGCAUUAAGCACUCCGCCUGGGGAGUACGACCGCAAGGUUGAAACUCAAAGGAAUUGACGGGGGCCCGCACAAGCGGUGGAGCAUGUGGUUUAAUUCGAAGCAACGCGAAGAACCUUACCAAAUCUUGACAUCCUUUGACAACUCUAGAGAUAGAGCCUUCCCCUUCGGGGGACAAAGUGACAGGUGGUGCAUGGUUGUCGUCGGCUCGUGUCGUGAGAUGUUGGGUUAAGUCCCGCAACGAGCGCAACCCUUAAGCUUAGUUGCCAUCAUUAAGUUGGGCACUCUAAGUUGACUGCCGGUGACAAACCGGAGGAAGGUGGGGAUGACGUCAAAUCAUCAUGCCCCUUAUGAUUUGGGCUACACACGUGCUACAAUGGACAAUACAAAGGGCAGCGAAACCGCGAGGUCAAGCAAAUCCCAUAAAGUUGUUCUCAGUUCGGAUUGUAGUCUGCAACUCGACUACAUGAAGCUGGAAUCGCUAGUAAUCGUAGAUCAGCAUGCUACGGUGAAUACGUUCCCGGGUCU